rnacentral:rRNA from 1 species
GACGAACGCUGGCGGCGUGCUUAACACAUGCAAGUCGAACGGAAAGGCCCUUUCGGAGGUACUUGCGUGGCGAACGGGCGAGUAACUCGCGGGUGAUUUGCCUUCCACUCUGGGUUAAGUCAGGGCAACUAGGUCUAACUCAUGCCAGGACCGCACUUCUGCGUGUUUGGUGGAGAGUUUUUUCGGUGUCGGAUGGGCCCGCGGCCUUUCAGUUUGGUGGUGGGGGAAGGGCCUACCAAGGCGGCGACGGGUACCCGGACUGGGAGGUGGGUCGGGCACAUUGGGACUGGGAUACGGCCCAGACUCCUACGGGGGGCAGCAGUGGGGAAAAUUGCACAAUUGGCGCAAGCCUGAUGCAGCGACGCCGGGUUGGGGAUGACGGCCUUCGGGGUGUAAACUCCUUUCGCCAGGGACGAAGCGGUGUGUGACGGUACCUGGAGAAGAAGCACCGGCUAACUACGUG